ACUUUGAAACCUGAGGUAAAAUUCCGUGUUUUAGAAGUCAAACACAUAAACUCUAAAUUCAUGGCCAUAAAAAAGGAUUAGAUACCCUUUUAUACUUGAAAAUCAGACUUUAAGUAGUAAAAAUUAUAUUUUUGAAAUUUAAAGGGUUUGGCGGCUUUUAGAAUGAUCAGGGGAGUUUGUAUUUUAAUCGACAGUACGCGUUAGACCUUACUUGAUUUAUGUUUGUAUACCGCCGUCUAAACACCCUCAGCAGAGUUCCGUUGGGAUCACAAGCACGCGAACGUCAGGUCAUGGUGCAGCAAUAAUCAAGGUAAUCACAAACUACAUUUUGUAAAGUAUUGGAGUUGAAAUUAAAAUUUUAAUGAAACCGGACUUGUAAGUAAUUACUGGAUUAGAAUACAGUAAUAAAUUUAAAACUAAAAGUGUACAUAUCGCCCGUCGCUCU
rnacentral:rRNA from 1 species